GUGCAAUCAUCGUGACUCAGCAAGGACUGUCUGUCAGGCGAUGGCCAGCGUUAAAGAGCCGGGCAUGGCGGCAGUGAGGAGAUGGUGAAGGCUGCUCUUCCUCAAUUACAUAGGAGCAUGGAAUACGUACUCUUACCCACAUCCCAUCAACAGGAGUCAUGUCUUCUCCAUUUCUGUCUCCACCAUGUCUCUCAAUAUAGUGGUUUCUAAUGAAUUUUCUCCUAUAAUUUGUUCUGGAAGCUGAAAGUCCAAGAUCAAGGUGCCUGUAGGAUUGGUUUCUCCUGUGGCCUCUCUCCUUGGCUUGCCGAUGAUCACCUUCUUGCAGUGUUCUCCUGGGGUCUUUCCUGUAUGUGCAUGCACAGAAAGAUUUCUGAUGUGUCUUCUUCUUCUUACAAAGACAUCAGUCAUGUUAGAUGAGAACCUCACUAUUAUGACCUGGUUUAACUUUAAUCACCUCCCUAAAGGUUCUGUUUCUAAAUACAGUCACAUUGAGAAAUAGGUGUCAAAAAAAUGAGUUUUGGGGGAUGCAAUUCCAUCCAAAACAGGGGUGUUCUUUUCACUCUGCUGAAGCACUAAGUCAUGGACCGAGUGCUUACUUGUUCCUCACACCACGUGUGCACCAAGAGUUUCAGAUAUAAAGUGUACUAAGCAUCGCCUCUGUCAUCCCCUUGAUCAGCAUCUGAGAGCAACACAACAGAAAGCACACUGACAAAGACACAGACAAAAUGCCGCAUGCACUGACCUUCUGCAGAUUCGUACAAUGGUUGAAUUGUGGUGUUGAGGUUGUAACAAUGUCCUGAAACAGGCUUCCAACAUUUGAGAUGUUUAGCUGGACUUGGAAAACUUUUAUUUAUGGUUAAGACUAUAUUUGCUUAUCCAGCUUAUUGGUUGAAUUUGAUGGAUUAGUAUGACAUCUUUCAGUUGCUUCUAAAGUUGGUCCUGUCACUGCUGGUAUGUUAAAGGAGUGCUGCCUUGACGGAGAUAAUAGAGAUAUUGUAUCUGUGACAAUUGAUGGCCGGUAAGCUAUUUCCAUUGUCCUUUAAAUUAAUCUGUUGAAUUUUCCAUGCCACACUACACAUUCUAAAAGCCCCUGCUGGUUUUCAUUAGUUAAAUCCAUGAGGCUGACCAAGACAGUCAUAAUGUUCCCCACAAAUUGACUAAACUUUAGACAGGUCUCUUUCUCAUAUUGGCCCCUGGCCUCCCUUUACUUAGAGUGUUUGCUUUAGAAAAGUAAUUACAAUUUGUAGUUGCAAAUUCUUUCUCUGCUCUUUUGAAAUGCAUAUAUAUCUUCUUAAAAGACUACUACCGGUUUUAUGCCCCAGGAAAUGUGUUUCUGAAGGGCCUGGGAAGCAUCUCUUUGACAUGUAAAUGUGAAGGAAAAUAGCACCCCUGGCUCUGGGUCUCUACAAGAGUACAUAGGAACCUAACUUCAGUGGGAGCCUCCAUCCAAGUUGUAAAACUAACUGUUUUCAUGAAGUCCUGAGGACUUAGACUUUUACUUCGAGUAAGGCGCAUUAGAAAACACAGGGCCUAAGAUUGCCACCACCCAAGCUCUUGAAAACGCUCCAGCCUUUUGAUUCAGAUGAGUUGAGUUUAAUCCCUCUUAUCUAUUGUGAUAGUCUUGAAUAAAGCCUUCCUUAUCUGUUUAGCCCUGUCUGGUGAUAUAUUCACUUUUAGAAGGCUAACAGGCUGAUCAUGGUCUUAGAUAUGAACAGUUGACUUUCCCCUCUAAUCAACAACCAAAGAGUUUAGGUGCCAAGAGGGACAGCUUUGCAAUACAGUCUUGGAGAGUAGAAGGAUUUCUAUCCCAGCCUGAGGUAAAAACAUCAUUUCUGCUACUUUCCAUCAUGUCUAAAACAUAAUAAAUGCUCAGUUAAAUUAGUAUUUUAACAGACUGUUGACUGUCAUACUUUCUUUCUUAUAAACCACCAUUUUGAUGAACAGUCAUUGUUCUUCUUAACUCGUGUUAAUAAAAAAAUAGCAAUUGAGGAAUCCUGUCAUGGAGGACAGUGGGAGUCUGUGAAAAGCAUUCUAUCAAUUUAAUUUAGGGCAAAUUUGGAAAAGCAGUGUUAUAAAGUACCAGAGAAUGUUUGGAAAAAUACUGGUAGAUAAUUUAGGAGAAUACGCCAUCCCCAUUAAAACCCCUAUUACCAGUUUUAUGCCCCAGGAGAUGUUUUUCUGAAAGGCCUAAAAACCAUCUCUUUGAAAUAUAAACAUGAAGGAAAAUAGCACCUCUGGCUCUGUGUCUUUAUAGGAGUAGAUAGAAGCCUAAAUUAGCAAAUUCUUAAAAGUUGGUUGUACAACAUCAUUAAAAUAAUAUAGUUGGAAAACUAGUGAAUUAAACUAUUUAUUGUUUCUACCAAGA
rnacentral:lncRNA from 1 species